rnacentral:rRNA from 1 species
AACGAACGCUGGCGGCAGGCCUAACACAUGCAAGUCGAGCGAGGACUUCGGUUCUAGCGGCGGACGGGGGAGUAACGCGUGGGGAUGUGCCCUUCUCUACGGAAUAGCCCUGGGAAACUGGGAGUAAUACCGUAUACGCCCUAAUGGGGAAAGAUUUAUCGGAGCAGGAUCAGCCCGCGUUGGAUUAGGUAGUUGGUGGGGUAAUGGCCUACCAAGCCGUCGAUCCAUAGCUGGUUUGAGAGGAUGAUUAGCCACACUGGGACUGCGACACGGCCCAGACUCCUACGGAAGGCAGCAGUGGGGAAUCUUAGACAAUGGGGGCAACCCUGAUCUAGCCAUGCCGGGUAAGUGAUGAAGGCCGUAGGGUUGUAAAGCUCUUUCAGCUGGGAAGAUAAUGACGGUACCAGCAGAAGAAGCCCCGGCUAACUCCGUG